rnacentral:rRNA from 1 species
UACACUCCUACGGGAGGCAGCAGUGGGGAAUUUUACGCAAUGGGGGAAACCCUGACGUAGCGACACCGCGUGAGCGAAGAAGCCCUUUGGGGUGUAAAGCUCUGUCAGCUGGAACGAAAACAAUGACGGUACCAGCAGAGGAAGCAUCGGCUAACUACGUGCCAGCAGCCGCGGUAAGACGUAGGAUGCGAGCGUUGUCCGGAUUUAUUGGGCGUAAAGAGUUCGUAGGUGGUUUGUUAAGUUUGGUGUUAAAGAUCGGGGCUCAACCCUGGGACUGCACUGAAUACUGGCAGACUCGAGUGUGGUAGAGGCUAGUGGAAUUCCCAGUGUAGCGGUGAAAUGCGUAGAUAUUGGGAAGAACACCGGUGGCGUAGGCGACUAGCUGGGCCAUAACUGACGCUGAGGAACGAAAGCCAGGGGAGCGAAUGGGAUUAGAAACCCCGGUAGUCCCAUGA